GGCGGGUCUCCCCGCAUGGUAAUUCGGAGCACCGGGUCAGGGGCGGAAGCCAGCAGCCCACUCUGAUGAGCCAGUGCCGGGGGUUCGGCUCGCCACC
rfam:Neisseria mucosa C102 genomic scaffold supercont1.1, whole genome shotgun sequence.